rnacentral:lncRNA from 1 species
AUCUCUCAUACCAUGAUCACUAUCAUAGAUACACCAUUAUCAUGACUAUCCCAGUCAUAAACGAAAUCAUGAGCAUCAUCGUACCAUAAACACCACAGUGAAAAGAAUCAGUCACACUCAUGUAUCCUACCUUACUGAUUGUAACCGCUCCUACAACCCCAUUUACAGAUUCCCCAUGCAGAUAUAUUUGAGUAGUCCUACAAUCUAGCUAAGGAACAUGUAAUUUUGCCACACAAGGACAAGGAAGACACCUUCACACCCACACAAGGAAGGCUUAAUACCCGAAUAACCCUUCCAAUGCACACA